GUGAAAUGAUGAAUCUGUUUAUCCAUUCUCUGAGUGUUUUCCGGCCCUCCUUUCUCUUGCCAGCACUCACGCCUGUUCUAGGUGUGAGUGCUGGCUCUGCCGGCUUCUUCAUCUCUGCUUCAGUGUUCUGCUGUUGCAGCUGAUGCUAGAAGCCAAUGCAGGUUUGGAGGGUCAGGAUUCACCAAAGAAGAACCAAUGGGACUGAUCAC
ensembl:snoRNA Small nucleolar RNA SNORD17